GAACACUACAAUUCCCAGGGGGCUAGACGCCAUUAAGCCUGGCCGAGCCGGGAGGCCCUCGGGAGUCCGGACGCACGCUUAGGCUCUUGGGAGUUGUAGUACCAACCGAGCCAGGGUCGUAACCAUGGCGGUGACCAAAGAGCUCUUACAGAUGGACCUGUACUCGCUGCUAGGGAUUGAGGAGAAGGCGACGGACAAAGAGGUGAAGAAGGCAUACAGGCAGAAGGCCCUCUCCUGCCACCCGGACAAAAAUCCGGAUAAUCCCAGAGCAGCUGAACUCUUUCAUCAGCUUUCUCAGGCCUUGGAGGUUCUGACCGAUGCUGCAGCCAGGGCUGCGUAUGACAAGGUCAGGAAAGCCAAGAAGCAGGCAGCAGAGAGGACCCAGAAACUUGAUGAGAGAAGGAAGAAGGUGAAGCUUGACCUGGAGGCCCGGGAGCGGGAGGCCCAGGCCCACGGAAGUGAGGAGGAGGAGGAGAACCGGAGCGCCAGGACGCUGGAGCAAGAAAUCGAGCGCCUGCGAGAGGAGGGUUCCCGGCAGCUGGGGGAGCAGCAGAGGCUGAUCCAGGAGCAGAUACGCCUGGAGCGGGAGCAGAGGUUGAGAGGAAAGUCAGAAAAUACUGAGGGCAAAGGAACCCCCAAACUAAAGCUAAAAUGGAAGUGGAAGAAGGAGGAUGAGUCAAAAGGUGGCUACUCCAGAGAUGUCCUCCUGCGGCUCUUUCAGAAGUAUGGUGAAGUUCUCAAUCUGGUGCUUUCUAGGAAGAAGGCAGGCACUGCAGUGGUGGAGUUUGCGACCGUUAAGGCUGCGGAGCUGGCUGUCCAGAAUGAGGUGGGCCUGGUCGAUAACCCUCUGAAGAUUUCCUGGUUGGAAGGACAACCCCAGGGCACAGUGGGCUCCAGCCACCCAGGACUGUCACAGCCCUUACUCCAAACCAGUUGGCCAGGGCCUGGCAUCUUAGCCCCAGCCACUCCCUUAUUAUUUCCUGGGUCACUGACCACCAGGCUUCCCUCCCGGUUUGUCCCAUGAGUGUGCCAGCAUGGAACAGGCCCCAGCAGCCUCCUCCUCUGAUAGAGGGCCAAGCAUCAUGCAUCCCCUGGCUUGGCACUCCACCUCCUCCCCGUGCCAACUCAGGGCUCAGUGCUGUCUGAGAGGGACUACGAGAGCCUCGUCAUGAUGCGCAUGCGCCAGGCAGCUGAGCGGCAGCAGCUGAUUGCCCGGAUGCAGCGAGAGGAUGAGGAGGGGCCACCCACGUAGCCCCGGGCUCCAGCCCCUCCCACCUUACAGCCCUUUUCUUAAACAUCAUCAAUAAAAUUUUGUUUUUUUUUUUAA